rnacentral:rRNA from 1 species
GCAUGAAGCUGGAAUCGCUAGUAAUCGCAGAUCAGAAUGCUGCGGUGAAUACGUUCCCGGGUCUUGUACACACCGCCCGUCACACCAUGGGAGUUGGGAAUGCCCGAAGUCAGUGACCCAACCGCAAGGAGGGAGCUGCCGAAGGCAGGCUUGAUAACUGGGGUGAAGUCGUAACAAGGUAAC